UGCAGAUUUAAAAGUGAUUACAAAACGUGAGUUACAUAAUUCAUAAUACCUUGAUACUCUACGAUUUAUAUAACGAAAUUGAAUACAUACAUAAGAAUUUUAUUUAGGAUGAACAUCAUAAUGAUUAUCAUUAUUCAAAUUAUCUCGCCUUCGAAAGUCGCAGAAUGCAAGAGAUAGAUUUUACACUCUGGCGGCGGCGUUAACUUGAGACAUUGUUUAACACUUUAAAUUUCACAAUGUAGAAGAACUGGAUGCUUCAUACCUCGUAUGCAAAUAUUUUAUAUCACAAAGAAGCUGUCCGUCAUAAGUUUAUUGUGCUUGAUUCAUUUUCACGGCUCAGUGACAGCUUGAAAAAAAGUGUUGUUGUUGAGUGAAAUACUCAACUGCUAUCAGUAAUAGGGUAGCUAUAUAUUCAGUAUAAGGGGUCCAUGCAAUGUCUUCAGGUAAGGUUCACCUCACCCUGACCCCAUUCAACGGAUCAGUGAUCAAUGUUAAAUUUACGUGAUCAAGUCGGUAUCUUAGAUAUUGUAAGCAAUAGGUCAAUAUAUUUGGUAUAAACUGAGACUUCUAUAACAUAUUUUAGUAGUCUCGGGUAUAAAUAAGAUGUGGUAUGUGUGCUAAUGAGACAACUCUCCAUCCAAGUCACCAUGUAUACAAAUUUAACCAUUAUAGGUCAAAGUACGGCCUUCUGCACACAGCCUUAGCUCACAUCAAACAGUAAGCCAUAAAGGGCACCAAAAUGACUAGUGUAAGACAAUUCAAACAGGAAAACCCAUGGUCUAAUCAAUAUAAAAACAAGAAUGUGUCCAUAGCACACAGAUGCCCAAUCCGCACUAUCAUUUUCGAUGUUCAGUGGACUGUGAAAAUGGGGUAAAAUCUCUAAUUUGGCAUUUAAAUUUCAAAAGAUCAUAAGGAACAUGUGUACUGAGUUUCAAGUUGAUUAGACUUAAACUUCAUCAAAAACUACCUCGACCAAAAACUUUAACCUGAAGCGGACAGACGGACGAACGGACGAACAGACGAACGACCAUAAUGCCCAUAAUUUGGGCAUAAAAACGAGAAACGAGAAACACCUAUGAAUCACACCAGAGACAUGCGUAUAUAUGUCUCUGACUACACCAACAAACGACAACCGCUGAACAACAGGCUCCUGACUUAGGACAGUUUCAUAAACGUGCAGCUGGUGUGCACUAGUUUUUUGGCGCCAAACCCUCCCCUUACAUAGGAUAGUGGUGUAACGGUACAACAUAAGAUAAUAAAAGUACUGAAGUACUGAACAUCGGUUGACCGCAAGUUUAUGUGAAUGGUCACAUUGAAGCACAUGCCUCAGAAAAAAACACAUCUCUAUACCUGAAAGUGAGGUUAAGUUACAUAGAUUAGUAUAUUUAUUUCUGAGACAUCGUGCGUUGAUGAGUAAUAAAUGACAGGAAACUCAACCUCAAUUUUAUAUUGUAUUUAUUCAAAUCAGUAUACUCUGGUUUGUUGUUAUAUAUUACAUGAAUAUUUGUAUAUAACAGUUACAUGUACAUAUAAUUUUCAUCCAUUUGCAUAUCAUUCUAUUCUACAAUUCUAAUAAUAGCGCAGUGCAACUGCAUGGUGGACACUCUUCUGUAAUAAUUCGAUUUUUUCAAUAGAUCGGAUUUGAGUAGGCAUUCAUAUUUUCCCGCUAAACGUUCAUGAGAUAUUCUUCCGCAUGCAUUAACACAUAUUUUAGGUAUUCGGAGUUGUUAUUGGUAUAUAUAUAUUUCUCACCAUAUAACAUUUUCAUAUCAUUUAUUUAUAUUCUUUUUAUUUUCAUGAAUAUUUAUUGAUGAUAUUGACAGAGAACAAGCGAUAAGGAAUGUUAUUUUGCGUUCAGUUGUCAGUCACGUGGGUAGAAAUGACUGUGGCAACGAUACUCCGGAAUGCUCUCAUGGUCAUCCGAUGUAAAAAUGGACUGAUUUUAAGAUGUACGUAUCCGACUGUAAGUUUUCACAAAACUUGACCACAAUUCCAUGGUUCAUUGAACAAUGUUUAGUUUUUGUGGUUUGGUCUUUUUCUGAGCUAAUAAGCUAAGGCCUAUAAUUUAAAGUAUUUUCUGACGGUUCACAGUUCGUAGUACGGUUUGGACAGUUUUGGAAUUUUGGCAGUCUUUAUACCGAGAGCUUUAGUAAGUGCUACCAUACAUAUUAUAACGCAAUAUCAAACAAGCUACCGAGGUUCGAACAGUAUGAUAUGAAUGUGUGUUAAUUGUAAAAUUUAAAUACUAAAUGUAUAGAUAAAAAAAAAUCAUUCAAAUACUGUAUUGUUUUGUUUGAUUGAUUUGAAGGAAACAAAUAUUUAUUGAAACUUAACGUUAACAUCAACAAUAAAACAAACAAGAAUAGUGCGAUUAUUGUGCAUGUUUCUUAAUUUUACAUUUGAUUUGCAAAAGACACUUCCUGAUGGUAAUGCAUCUACUUCAUCAAUUUUCAAGUACAACACACACACACACACACACACACACACACACACUUUUAAAGUUGAAAUAACCUUUAAUGUUGAUACAUACAUUGUGGGCCUCGGUGGCCGAGUGGUCUCAGUAGUUAUUACUACUGUCAUCACUAACCAGUCAACACUGAGGUUGUGAGUUCGAACCCCGCUCUUGGGGGUGCACUUUACUCCAAUCUUAAUUGACUAAGAUUGUCAGUUUUCCUAUCAAAGGUCGGUGGUUUUCUCCGGCUUCCUCCACCAUUAAAAUUGACCGCCAAGAAAUAGCCUUAAUGCGGUGUUAAAAAGUGGCUUAAAACACUAAAAAAUCAAUUCAAAUCAAUGGCAUUUGCAUUGUAUUUAUAAAUGAAAAAUCAUUAACAUUCGUUGUCCGUAUGUAAAUCACUUUUUCCUCUUUUUUUAAUUGGGUUUUAUAAUAAUCGUCAAGGCAUAGACAUAUAAUUGAAAUAUUAUUCAACUUUAAAGAUAGCUUUUAAUUUCAACUAACAAUAACUACAGCAACAUUUCUGAAACGGGUAGUGGUUAUGCACAUUAAUUAUUGACAGUGUUGUAUACGAUGAAGUAUUUUGGAAGAGGGACGAAAGAUACCAGAGGGACAGUAAAACUCAUAAAUCGAAAAUAAACUGACAACGCCAUGUGGCACACGUCGUGUUGCUCAUGUUAUAACAAAUCCAGUAAAUUGUCCAAUUCGGUAGGUCACAUUCAUGUAAGGAAAGGGGAUUGUAGUUAAGACGUAAGGAAUAUAUCAUUUGUGAACCGGUUAUUCCAUAACGGUCAACCAACUCAUGAUGGCGACCGUAAAAUUUACGAAGGGAUGAUUUUAACUUCACCAUUUGGAACUCUUGGUUUAAUAGAUUCCGUGUGAGCAGCAAACCCUCUAUCAAGAAAAUCAUGAUAGGAAAUGCAAGCCAAGAAUAUCGUAUCAACUGGGAGAUAUAUACCUCGUAUGAAGCUGCUGCUAGAAUUUUGCUACUUAGAAAUGGAAAGUUCACAAUUAGAAAGCUGAAAUAAUCUCUUUUGUCGUAAAGUUUUUGUUUUCAACCGACCCUCAUUGUCAAUUUAUAGAUGUAAGCUAAGUCAAGAUAUGAGGCCGAAACCAAAUAUGCCAUGAUAGUCGGCAUGGGGGAUGACUUAAUUAUAUCUGUUGUAUCCUUUAUCUCUAGUUCGAUGGGAUAGAUACGUUCAACAUAGAUGUAUUAUUACAAUUUUGAAUUAAUUAGUAAAGGUACACAUGAUUGCCACACUCUACACAACUAUAUUGGAUGUGUGGCCUUUUUUCCUUGGUACCCUUUCAUAUAAUUGUCCAGCAUACAUAACACUUUCGCUUUACUCCUAGUCGGCAUGUGAUCCUGAUCUCCAAUGGUAUAUUUGUUGUUCCCCCGUACGUGUAUAUCUUGUUGUUUAUAAAGCAAUAAGGUAAUAAUAACAGUCUUUGAAAAUAGCAAAAAUGUUUUUGACAAUUUGAAGGGCCAAGUUGACGGUUCAGUGACAAAUUGAAUAAUCUAAAAUUCAUUUAACUUUAUUAUAUUCAUCACUUUGAAGAAGACCUAGCCACUUCAAUUUUUGUUAUUAAAUAAAUACUAUUGUAUAUAUUGUUCACACAUGACAACUCAAUAUCGCUUCUUCUAAUGUAUGUUCAUUAUUUAUUAUGAUUUGCCUUUUCUUUUCUUCAUAAUUUUAUUUUUAGUUUGAAAUUCUGUAAACAAAUCAUGGCAUCUUUACAUGUGUUAAGUAAAGUAAAAUUAAAGUAUGGUUGAAAAGUUUUUGGUCUUUCAAUAUUUAAGGCCAAGGAGAAGAAGAUAUUUAAAAUCAUCCACUUUUAAAUGGUUUUCAUCAAAUAUUCAAACAGGCAUCCGGUGGCACAAUUUGCGGUCAAGGGGUGGCAUUUCGAAUUUCACAAUCCUUCCCUAUGCAGUCCAUACUUUUUUUUCUUCAUUUAAUUGUAGACUUUACUACAUAUAAGAUUCAUUUAAACAGAUAUCUAUUGUAAACAGCUGUUGCUUUACAAAAUCUAUAAACAUAUAGAUAAAAGUUUCCUUGACUAGUCAUUUGAAUCGGAUAAACAAUGUAUCAUGUAUUGAUGUUGGUGAAAAGAAAGAUCCAAGAAUGUCAACACGUGACAGAUGGAUUUUAAUGGUUAGAAUUCCUCCAAUCAAUGUUUUUGCCUGUUUGAAAGUUCAUUCGAUCUAAAGAAAUUGUAAAAAGAUGGUAAUCUAUGGCCAUAUGUAUACAUGUAUAUUGUUAACUUGUUAUUUUGCAUUUUCCGAUGUACUUAUGCUACAUGUAUGUGAUUAAACUUCAACAAUAACUACUGAGCUAUUAUUUCAUAUUUAUAGUGUCAACAAUUAAAAUAUAUAGAUAAACAAUAUGUAUUUGAUAAAAGUAAAAUACAAGUACAGUAUUUUGCUGGAUUUUUUUUAAUUUGAUUAUAAAUUUAGCAUGAUGAAAAGAAAAAAUAAACAAAACGUCUGCUGAUGAGUUUCAUUGCUAAUGAUCAGUAUAAAAUCGUGUAAAAUGUACGAAACACAUUACAAUAAACAGACACUAAAUAUAUUCUUUACAAUUUUAGUAUCUUAAUAUCAUGAAUUUGCACUGACAUUCUGGAGCGUUAACAUGUUUUCUUGCAUUACAUCUAUUUUCCAAAGAUCCCAUUGAAUUUUAUUUUUCUAUUCCAAAAUAUGAUUCAAGUUACAUGUAGGUCCUGCGAGUUUAGGCAUGAAAAAAAAACACAAAAUAUUUGUAGAACCACAUUUCAUACCCUCAGAGUUUGUGCUCAGUACUAAUAUGUAGGACUUUUUUUUUUUUUUUUAUAGACGUUAAUUUUUGUAGACGUAUUUCAAUGUAAAGCAGUGUCCAAAUUGGCCAAAUUUUAAUUUCAUAUUUUGGAGACAUAUGGGCCUGCUGGCUUUAAAAUUUACAAAUCUAUCGAAAAACACAUGUUUGUGCCCACACUAGUGAUUAAGUAACUAAAAAUGUAUUAACAAUUGAUUAAUUCAUCAAGGAAGUUGUAAUUUGCAACAGGUUUGAAAAAAACUCCAACAAAUGACGCAAAUAAGGUAUGUAUUUAUUAGGGAUAUCAACGAGUACACGAGUAUCGCUCGGUAGUACCUAAUAUAUAAGGUAUAUAUAAUACAUAAAUGAUACUUGACUAAUCGGUUUACUGUUAGAAUGUUGUUGCUUUCUUAAACUUUAUCAAAAAAUGUUGUUAUUGAGAGCGCCUACUGGGAAAUUAAAUAUGUUAACAAAAUCUUAUUUAGGCUAUGAACAAGAACUAUUUUACAAGGCUUACAAUUUUUGUUGAUGUCAGCAUACCCACGCCUCUACAUAUUUUUGACCAGAAGUACUAUAGUUAGUAACCUAACAAAAAGUUCAAACAAAAUAUGCACACAACACAUAAAAAAAGAUAUGAAGUCCGAGUUCCCGUAGAAAAUAGACCUGUUUUUUAAGGUCUUUCCUCUACGCGAGGUAAACCUUAUUGUUUUUGUAACUUUUUUUCUUUUUUUUUCUUCCAGCAUUCUUUUGGCACGCCCUACUACCACUUCUAUUGGAGUUAUCAAUACCAAACUUGAACCAUCAAUUGACCACAUCAUGAAGUUUUACCAGAUGACCUUUUUAAGAAUUUCAUCAACCCUUUAGAAGUUAUCUCCCUUUUAUUGAUUUUUGUCAACAUGGCCUCCCUCGUUGUUUUUAAAAAUACCAUGACUUUAUUGGGACAAUAGGUAGAUCUCAUCCUGAUGUAUUACCAUAUGAGGCUGCAAAGUAUUUCAUCAUCCCCUAUGAGAGUUUACUGCGUAGCAGGUCUAUUACAACAUAUUUUUAUUGUUAACAUACAACAGCUGCUUUACAAAAUCUACAAACUGAUAAAAAAAAGUGCAUUGACUAGUCGUUGGAAUCGGAUAACCAUUGAAUCACGUAUCCGUGUUGACAAACAGGAAGAUCCACAAAUGUCAACAGGUGAUAGAUAAAUUUUCAAUGGUUCGAAUUCCUCCAAUCAAUGUAUUUUCCUGUAUGAAAGUACAUUCGAUCUUUCAAAACAUUGAACAAAAUGGUAAUUAACGGCCAUAUAUCUAUAUUGAUUAAUUGUAAUUUUUCAUUUUCCGAUGUACAUAUACUAUAUGUAUCUGAUUAAAAAUCAACAAAAACUACUGAUCUAUUCUAUUAUAUUAAUAGUGUCCACAAUUAAAAUAUAUCAAUAAACAAUAUGUAUUUUAUUGUCUAAUGUUUUGUUGGAGUUAUUGCGAUAAGUUUUAUAUUCGAGAACGAGCCGUGAUUUUCUUUUAAAACGGAGUUUGAAAACAUGGUAAAAUUGUCGCAUUUUGGAUUGUAUGCGGAUGUAUUUUUUUCCGGAGUUCGAGGGGACGACUUUAUUAAUUUCCUUUACUUUUUUAUGAAUGCAAAACAAACAAAAACCAAAAUUUGGUCAUAGCAAUCGCAUACACUCACUUGCAUCAUAUUUAAAUUUUAACAUAAUUGACAAUAAUUCUUCUUUUUGAUUAUAAAUUUCAGCAUGAUGAAAAGAAAAGCUAAACAAAAAGUCUACUGAUGAAUUUCAUUGCCAAUGAUCAGUAGAAAAUCGUGUAAAUUGUACGAAACAUAUAAGGAUAAACAGACACUUAAUAUAAUCAUUACAAUUUUAGUAUCUUAUCAUACAUUUUCACGGACACACUAAUUCUUACAUUACAUCCAUAUUCCAAAGAUUCAAUAACAUUUUAUUUUUCAAUUCCAAAAUUUUAUUUUUCAAUUCCAAAAUUUUUUCAAUUCCAAAAUUUUAUUUUUCAAUUCCAAAAUUUUAUUUUUCAUUUCCAAAAUUUUAUUUUUCAUUUCCAAAAUUUUACUUUUCAAUUCCAAAAUUUAAUUUUAGUUUCAUGUAGCUCCUGUGAGUUUGAGCAUGACAAAACACAACAUAUUUGUAGAACCACAUUUCCUACCCUGAGAGGUUGCGCUCAGUAUUAAUAUGUAGGACUUCCGGACAUUUUUUGUAGACGUAUUUCAAUGUAAAGCAGUGUCCAAAUUGACCAAAUUUUAAUUUCGUAUUUUGGAGAAAUAUGGACCAGCUGGCUUUAUAAUUUACAAAUCUAUCAGACAACACAUGUUUGUGCCCACACUAGUGAUUAAGAAACUAAAAAUGUAUUUACAAUUGAUUAAGUCAUCAAGGAAGUUGUAAUUUGCAACAGGUUUGAGAAAAACUCAAACAAAUUACGCACAUAAGGUAUGUAUUCAAAGAUCCUCCAUUCUCUUUAUUCACAUUGUCCACUGAAUUUAUUUGAUAAAGACAUACUGUUAGGAGCAAGCAAUAUGCACACACAAAUGUUGGUAUGUUUGCUGUUCUUCAUGUUUGAAAUUUCUGCAGGUAAGACUUCAGUUUAUUUUUCUUCAUGUCAAAGAAUGAUUUAUUUGUGAACUGGCGUAUACUAAAUUUAGUCCUGGUAUCUAUGAUGAGUUAAUAUACAUAACCUAAACAAAGAAAAGAUAAUGGUUAAUGAAAUAAGUGUUUAAUGAAUGAAUAAAAACUAAUUUAGUUAGGUUUGUGGUUUAAUAUUUUCAACGAUAUUUUGUAUUGAUGCGAGUUGAAAUAUUGUGAUGGCAUCAGCAGAGAAUUUUAUCCUUUUAAAUCUUAGAUGUGUUUCUAAAAGUGAGUUUCAUUGAUGUCAGGUGAAUUGUUAAGAAAAGAAAGUAACUUCAGAUAUAUAAACACGUCGAUUAAACAGCUGAACUAAACGUUUCCAUCUUUACCUUCCUUAAUGUAGGAUGACAUUAAUACAUAUAUAAUGUAAUGAUAGAACUCAUUAUCAAAAUAGUUAAAAAGAACUCUUAACUCAAUAGGCUUUAAACAUGACAAACACAGAAAUAGGAUCAGUUGCUCAUUUUUUCAUGUUCACAUAUUAUAUUUUCCAAUAUCAUCAACUUCAAAUUAUAUUUUCCAAUAUCAUCAACUUCAAAUUUCAGGCAUCACGGAGUUUCCAUGCAAAUUUCCCUGUGAAUGGCGCAACAAAACAUUUAAUAUCUAUAGACAUGGACGAUUAAUUUACAAAUGGAAAUUUAGUAGUGAUGGUGUAGUGUUUGUUUUCAGUCCUAUCAACAUAAAUACUGAUAAAUUUAAAAGAUAAACCCCAAAAGUACAUACAUGACAAUAGAAUUAAUUAGAUUUUCUAUCUUUAUAUCACUGGCAUGUUGUGAUUUAUCUGAUAUAAAAGUGCGGAAAAAUGCUAUAUUAGACAAUGAGGCAACUUGUGUUCAAACUUCCUCAGCCAAAGUUAUCACCUGUUUACUUUUUUGUCCACGGAAAUUUCGGAGUUAAUAUGGCGUAUACAUGUAGUGCACGCCCGUCUACAUGUAAUGUUUGGUCUGCCACCAACUGUAUUAAGAUAGUCCAAUGUAGUAUUUGUAGUUUGGCAAGGUAGCAUAUUUCAGUAAAAAGAUAAAAAAGAUAAAAAUAAUUAAUGUAUUGAAAGUUUUUUCAUGUUCACAUAUUAUAUUUUCCAAUAUCAUCAACUUCAAAUUAUAUUUUCCAAUAUCAUCAACUUCAAAUUUCAGGCAUCACGGAGUUUCCAUGCAAAUUUCCCUGUGAAUGGCGCAACAAAACAUUUGAUAUCUAUAGACAUGAACGAUUAAUUUACAAAUGGAAAUUUAGUAGUGAUGGUGAAACAAGUAUUGUUGCUGACUCUUCUAUAGUGCUGUGUCAUCAAAUAACAGAACGCUUUCUUAUUAUCAGGUA
rnacentral:lncRNA from 1 species